AGACAGCAGCAGCGCGGUAAUACGUAGGGUGCGAGCGUUAAUCGGAAUUACUGGGCGUAAAGCGUGCGCAGGCGGUUAUAUAAGACAGAUGUGAAAUCCCCGGGCUCAACCUGGGACCUGCAUUUGUGACUGUAUAGCUAGAGUACGGUAGAGGGGGAUGGAAUUCCGCGUGUAGCAGUGAAAUGCGUAGAUAUGCGGAGGAACACCGAUGGCGAAGGCAAUCCCCUGGACCUGUACUGACGCUCAUGCACGAAAGCGUGGGGAGCAAACAGGAUUAGAUACCCCAGUAGUCCCUGUCUCUUAUACA
rnacentral:rRNA from 1 species